AGGGAAUCUUCCACAAUGGACGCAAGUCUGAUGGAGCAACGCCGCGUGAGUGAAGAAGGUUUUCGGAUCGUAAAGCUCUGUUGUUGGUGAAGAAGGAUAGAGGCAGUAACUGGUCUUUAUUUGACGGUAAUCAACCAGAAAGUCACGGCUAACUACGUGCCAGCAGCCGCGGUAAUACGUAGGUGGCAAGCGUUGUCCGGAUUUAUUGGGCGUAAAGCGAGCGCAGGCGGAAUGAUAAGUCUGAUGUGAAAGCCCACGGCUCGACCGUGGAACUGCAUCGGAAACUGUCAUUCUUGAGUGCAGAAGAGGAGAGUGGAACUCCAUGUGUAGCGGUGGAAUGCGUAGAUAUAUGGAAGAACACCAGUGGCGAAGGCGGCUCUCUGGUCUGCAACUGACGCUGAGGCUCGAAAGCAUGGGUAGCGAACAGGAUUAGAUACCCUGGUAGUCCAUGCCGUAAACGAUGAGCGCUAG
rnacentral:rRNA from 1 species